CGUUGAAAAGUGAGCGGAUGAACUGAGGGUAGCGGAGAAAUUCCAAUCGAACCUGGAGAUAGCUGGUUCUCUCCGAAAUAGCUUUAGGGCUAGCCUCAAGUGAUGAUUAUUGGAGGUAGAGCACUGUUUGGACGAGGGGCCCCUCUCGGGUUACCGAAUUCAGACAAACUCCGAAUGCCAAUUAAUUUAACUUGGGAGUCAGAACAUGGGUGAUAAGGCCCGUGUUCGAAAGGGAAACAGCCCAGACCACCAGCUAAGGUCCCAAAAUAUAUGUUAAGUGGAAAAGGAUGUGGCGUUGCCCAGACAACUAGGAUGUUGGCUUAGAAGCAGCCAUCAUUUAAAGAGUGCGUAAUAGCUCACUAGUCGAGUGACACUGCGCCGAAAAUGUACCGGGGCUAAACAUAUUACCGAAGCUGUGGAUUGUCCUUUGGACAAUG
rnacentral:rRNA from 1 species